rnacentral:rRNA from 1 species
GACGAACGCUGGCGGCGUGCUUAACACAUGCAAGUCGAACGGAAAGGCCCUGCUUUUGUGGGGUGCUCGAGUGGCGAACGGGUGAGUAACACGUGAGUAACCUGCCCUUGACUUUGGGAUAACUUCAGGAAACUGGGGCUAAUACCGGAUAGGAGCUCCUGCUGCAUGGUGGGGGUUGGAAGGUUUCGGCGGUUGGGGAUGGACUCGCGGCUUAUCAGCUUGUUGGUGGGGUAGUGGCUUACCAAGGCUUUGACGGGUAGCCGGCCUGAGAGGGUGACCGGCAACAUGGGGACUGAGAUACGGCCCAGACUCCUACGGGAGGCAGCAGUGGGGAAUAUUGCACAAGGGGCGGAAGCCUGAUGCAGCAACGCCGCGUGCGGGAGGACGGCCUUCGGGUUGUAAACCGCUUUCGCCUGUGACGAAGCGUGAGUGACGGUAAUGGGUAAAGAAGCACCGGCUAACUACGU